rnacentral:rRNA from 1 species
AUGAUUGUUCUCCGUCUGGAUAUCGUGCAAGAACACCGGACCCUCUCCGAGAGAGAAUUCCACCUACGGAAGCUUCUGAAACUUCGUAUCCUAGGUCUAGCGGCGGUAGAAAAAGCACGGAAGCGCUACGUGUCUAGAAUAACUUGGCUGCGAGCGGGCGACGCCCACACGGCCUUCUUCCAGGCCAAGAUCAACUCCAGACGAAGGAAAAACUUCAUCCACUCGCUACAAGGACCGGCUGGAGUUGCCAUGGCGCAUGCUGACAAAGAGGAGAUAAUCCACAACCAUUUCCACCGAUCCUUAGGAUCUGUACAUGGCCGGGCCACCACAGUAGAUUGGAACUCCAUCGACAUGCCCAGGGUGCAAGGAGGCGGGCUCGACAACCCUUUCACCGAGGAUGAAGUGUGGCAAGCAAUCAAGCAAUCGCCAGCGGAAAAAUCUCCAGGACCGGAUGGCUUCUCCGGCGUCUUCUUUAGGUCCUGCUGGCAAACACUUAAAGACGACAUCAUGGCAGCCUUCCAUCAGUUCUACAUCUCGUCGGGGGCUUGUUUUCAGAUGCUCAACACGGCUAUUGUAGUCCUGCUUCCAAAGAAAAAUGGCGUAGCUGCAAUCACAGACUAUAUGCACAUCAAUCUUAUACACUCCAUAGCAAAAUUGUUCUCCAAAGUGCUCUCCCUUCGGCUAGCAACAGUGAUCCAAAUAUUGAUAUCCCUGGCGUAG